rnacentral:rRNA from 1 species
AACGAACGCUGGCGGCAUGCCUAACACAUGCAAGUCGAACGAGACCUUCGGGUCUAGUGGCGCACGGGUGCGUAACGCGUGGGAACCUGCCCUUAGGUUCGGAAUAACUCCCCGAAAGGGGUGCUAAUACCGGAUAAUGUCUUCGGACCAAAGAUUUAUCGCCUUUGGAUGGGCCCGCGUUGGAUUAGCUAGUUGGUAGGGUAAAAGCCUACCAAGGCGACGAUCCAUAGCUGGUCUGAGAGGAUGAUCAGCCACACUGGGACUGAGACACGGCCCAGAAUCCUACGGGAGGCAGCAGUGGGGAAUAUUGGACAAUGGGCGAAAGCCUGAUCCAGCAAUGCCGCGUGAGUGAUGAAGGCCUUAGGGUUGUAAAGCUCUUUUACCCGGGAUGAUAAUGACAGUACCGGGAGAAUAAGCUCCGGCUAACUCCAUG